GAUGAACGCUAGCGGCAGGCCUAAUACAUGCAAGUCGGACGGGAUUCAGGAGCUUGCUUCUGAUGAGAGUGGCGCACGGGUGCGUAACACGUAUGUAACCUACCUUUAUCAGGGGGAUAGCCUCUCGAAAGAGAGAUUAAGCCCGCAUAAAAUCACAGCACAGCAUUGUGUAAUGAUCAAAUAUUUAUAGGGUAAAGAUGGGCAUGCGGAACAUUAGCUAGGUGGCGGGGUAACGGCCCACCAUGGCGACGAUGUUUAGGGGAUCUGAGAGGAUGGCCCCCCACACUGGUACUGAGACACGGACCAGACUCCUACGGGAGGCAGCAGUAAGGAAUAUUGGUCAAUGGGCGGAAGCCUGAACCAGCCAUGCCGCGUGCAGGAAGACGGCCCUACGGGUUGUAAACUGCUUUUAUACGGGAAUAAACCCAGAUACGUGUAUCUGGCUGAAUGUACUGUAAGAAUAAGGAUCGGCUAACUCCGUG
rnacentral:rRNA from 1 species